rnacentral:rRNA from 1 species
GUGAGGAAUAUUGCGCAAUGGAGGCAACUCUGACGCAGCCAUGCCGCGUGCAGGAAGAAGGCGCUACGCGUUGUAAACUGCUUUUAACCGGGAAGAAACCCCAGGACGUGUCCUGGGUUGACGGUACCGGAGGAAUAAGCACCGGCUAACUUCGUGCCAGCAGCCGCGGUAAUACGAAGGGUGCAAGCGUUAUCCGGCUUCAUUGGGUUUAAAGGGUGCGUAGGCGGAGCGUUAAGUCAGUGGUGAAAUCCUGCAGCUUAACUGUAGACUGGCCAUUGAUACUGGCGCUCUUGAGUGCGCUUGAAGUGGGCGGAAUGUGCCGUGUAGCGGUGAAAUGCUUAGAUAUGGCACAGAACACCAAUUGUGAAGGCAGCUCACUAAGGCGAUACUGACGCUGAGGCACGAAAGCGUGGGGAUCGAACAGGAUUAGAAACCCGUGUAGUCC